GAUCAUGGCUCAGAUUGAACGCUGGCGGCAUGCCUUACACAUGCAAGUCGAACGGCAGCACGGGAGCUUGCUCCUGGUGGCGAGUGGCGAACGGGUGAGUAAUACAUCGGAACGUACCCUGAAGUGGGGGAUAACGUAGCGAAAGUUACGCUAAUACCGCAUAUUCUGUGAGCAGGAAAGAGGGGGAUCGCAAGACCUCUUGCUUUAGGAGCGGCCGAUGUCGGAUUAGCUAGUUGGUGAGGUAAAGGCUCACCAAGGCGACGAUCCGUAGCGGGUCUGAGAGGAUGAUCCGCCACACUGGGACUGAGACACGGCCCAGACUCCUACGGGAGGCAGCAGUGGGGAAUUUUGGACAAUGGGCGCAAGCCUGAUCCAGCCAUGCCGCGUGAGUGAAGAAGGCCUUCGGGUUGUAAAGCUCUUUCGGUGGGGAAGAAAUUGCUUCGGUUAAUACCUGGAGUAGAUGACGGUACCCGCAUAAGAAGCACUGGCUAACUACGUG
rnacentral:rRNA from 1 species